GGCUCAGGAUGAACGCUAGCGACAGGCCUAACACAUGCAAGUCAGGGGCAGCACAAGGAGCAAUCUGAGGUGGCGACCGGCGCACGGGUGAGUAACACGUAUGCAACCUGCCUGUAAGCGGGGAAUAACCCGUUGAAAGACGGACUAAUACCGCAUAAUACUAAAUUACUGCAUGGUAAUUUAUUUAAACAUUUUAUGGCUUACAGAUGGGCAUGCGCAUGAUUAGCUAGUUGGAGAGGUAACGGCUCCCCAAGGCAACGAUCAUUAGGGGUUCUGAGAGGAAGGUCCCCCCACACUGGUACUGAGACACGGACCAGACUCCUACGGGAGGCAGCAGUGAGGAAUAUUGGUCAAUGGACGAGAGUCUGAACCAGCCAAGUCGCGUGCAGGAAGAAUGUCCUAUGGAUUGUAAACUGCUUUUGCAGGGGAAUAAAGUGCAUCACGUGUGAUGUUUUGUAUGUACUCUGCGAAUAAGGAUCGGCUAACUCCGUGCCAGCCGCGGC
rnacentral:rRNA from 1 species